UACAGAUCCUGGAAAAGAGAAAGAAUUGAAAUCUCCAGCUGCUACAAAAGAUAAAGAAUAUGCUAAAGAAAAGGAAGGAAAGAAUCCUACGUCUUUAAAAGAUAAAGAACAUGCCAAAGAAAAGGAAGGAAAGAAUCCUACGUCUUUAAAAGAUAAAGAACAUGCUAAAGAAAAGGAAGGAAAGAAUCCUACAUCUUUAAAAGAUAAAG
rnacentral:lncRNA from 1 species